rnacentral:rRNA from 1 species
GACGAACGCUGGCGGCGUGCUUAACACAUGCAAGUCGAGCGGUAAGGCCCUUUCGGGGGUACACGAGCGGCGAACGGGUGAGUAACACGUGAGUAAUCUGCCCAUCACUUGGGGAUAACUACCGGAAACGGUGGCUAAUACCGAAUAUGACCACUUCCUGCAUGGGAUGGUGGUGGAAAGUUCCGGCGGUGAUGGAUGAGCUCGCGGCCUAUCAGCUUGUUGGUGGGGUAAUGGCCUACCAAGGCUUCGACGGGUAGCCGGCCUGAGAGGGUGACCGGCCACACUGGGACUGAGACACGGCCCAGACUCCUACGGGAGGCAGCAGUGGGGAAUAUUGGACAAUGGGCGAAAGCCUGAUCCAGCAACGCCGCGUGAGGGAUGACGGCCUUCGGGUUGUAAACCUCUUUCAGCAGGGACGAAGCGCAAGUGACGGUACCUGCAGAAGAAGCACCGGCCAACUACGUGCCAGCCGCCGCAGUAAAAC